UCCAUAACUUUUAUAUGCAUUGAUGGAUUAUGUUAGUGCUAAACACAAACAUUCCCCAUGAUGAGACAAUGUGUCAACGCAUGAUCUGUGCUUGUCGGCUAAAGGUCAAGGUCACUGUUUAAGGUGAAUCUGCUUCCAUACUUUUAAUUGUAUUGAAUGAUUUUUUUAGUAUUAGACAGAAAUAUUCCCCGUGAUUAGACUAUGUGUCGCGCACAUGAUCAUUGGUUGUCGGUCAAAGGUCAAGGUUACUAUUGAAGGUCAAGUAAAAUUGGUUUUUCACCGGUAGGGUACUUCUGUAUAAUUUCUAUUGCAAUACUCGGUCACUUGAUUUUUAAUUAUCUUGCCAUCAUAGGUAAACAGUCAUUUUAAGAAGGAUAACUAGUAUUUUACAGAUAAACUAAGAGUUGUUUCCCUUUAAAAACUGAUUGCGUUUUCUUUCUUCUUCUUGUCCUGCAAGGUGUGUUUUACGUUUAGAAAAGGCACCCAGAUAUUAAGAACUCAUAUGGGAUAUAUAAAACAUUCAUUCUAAUAUUUCUAAAUUUCAGUUAGCCAAUAUCAAAUUGUUCAGCGUAAUAAGGACAAAUAUCAAACAGGGAAAGCCAUUUUCAAGAACUUAAAUCACCUCCCGUCCAAACCGCAACCCAGCACGCAGACGUGCACACGACCAAUACAGAAAGUCACACGUAAAGCAAACCUACGAGAAUAAAACGAAAAAUUAAAGGAAAACAACGGGGCAACACCUUUGAACGGUCAGUGGCAAAAACACCACUGGGGAGCUUUAACCUUUUAAUGGUGCAUCUAACCUCACUCUUACCCACACCAUGUUCCAAAGUCACGGGACAUUGUAAAAAAUAUUAUCCCCGCCAGAGUAAAAAAACACGAGACAGGAAAGGAAAAUUGCUUUAAUACGACAUUUUUUACACUAAUGCACAGGUUCAAUAUACAAUGUAAUUCAACAUCAAAAGAGACCAAACAAAAUAUAGGCCGGUUAUAGUGCAACAUAUGGUCAAACUAAAUCCAACAUGAGAUAUUUAGCAUGGAAUGAGUAGAGAUACACAAAAUAACACACAGAAAAAAAGUCCUCAAAAAUAUCACUACAGGAUACUGAGAUAUCACAUCAUAUUUAUUGGUGGGAAUAAAUAUUUUCCAAUGUCCGUUAUCAUGCACCGUGUGCCAUUUUUUCUCUACUUCCGGUAAGAAGUAAACAUCGCAGUUUGCUGUCAAAUUUUGUGGAACACCACUCUGUUCAAAGAAUUACUGGUUAUUGUCGAGUGAAUCGUGUAUGAGCUGAGGAGAAUUUUGCUAUUUGCGACGUGAAAGACGAACGUAGAAUACCAACAUUGUGUGAAAAAAAGUGUAGAUAGUUAAUUUCUGCAGCCAGAAAUAAAGGAGAACAAAUGUAUGUUAGACUGAGAACAUUGUGUGCUAUGAGUGUAGAAAAAUUAC